rnacentral:lncRNA from 1 species
CACCCAUCCCUCCCCGCUCUCACGCAACACUAUAAAACUUUGCAGGAGUCUGGUUCAGCCAGUCUUUCACCACUUCCUCUUAUUGUAUGAUCACAGGUUUCUCCUGUAGUGAACAGUUUAUCUUCUCUUCUUCGCGAAGGACUAAGAGGAGUUUGAACAAGGGCUGGGACAGGAUGACCCGCAGGUCCCUAUCUGAUCCAGAAUCUCCAGUGGAAAUGGUCAGUGGUGGAGAAAGUCCUUUAGAUAUGAAUCCCUGUGUAGACACAGGUCAGCACAGGGGCCGGCAGCUCACCUGUCCCAGCCCUCCGGAGUACGGGACUGCCUUCAUGGUUUCCAAGAAGCGUAGUCCCUCACCUCCAGAGGACAGUGGACCAGAAUGGCUUGUACGGAAGAAGAGUCGACAGAGUGAAUGUCCUGCUGAUGAUGAAGCAGAUUCUGCUGAAGGCUCGAACAGUAUGGACACCACUCUCACCACCAUCGACCACCCAGCUGACGUAGACUCCAGUCAGACCACCACCGACCACCCAGCUGAUGUAGACACCAGUCAGACCACCACCGACCACCCAGCUGACGUACACACCAGUCAGACCACCACCAACCACCCAGCUGACGUAGACACCAGUGAGACCACCACCGACCACCCAGCUGACUUAUACUCCAGUCUGACCACCACCGACCACCCAGCUGACGUAGACUCCAGUCUGACCACCACCGACCACCCAGCUGACAUAGACACCAGUGAGACCACCACCGACCACCCAGCUGACGUAGACUCGAGUCUGACCACCACCGACAACCCAGCUGUCGUAGACACCAGUCAGACCACCACCGACCACCUGGCUGACGUAGACUCCAGUCUGACCACUACCGACCACCCAGCUGACGUAGACACCAGUCAGACCACCAUUGACCACCCAGCUGACGUAGACACCAGUCAGACCACCAUUGACCACCUGGCUGACGUAGACUCCAGUCUGACCACUAUCGACCACCCAGCUGACGUAGACACCAGUCAGACCACCACCGACCACUCAUCUGACGUAGACAAUAUGAAGAUCGUUCUGGCUGGAAUCCCUAAUACUGUGAAGCUGUCCCCUGAAGAGUGGAAUAGAUUAAAUUUGAUUGAUUAUUGCUCAAUGACAAAUAAUUUAAUAUAUCCAGAUCUGUCUAAUCGAUCUCAGUCUAUUCUUCUGAUUUUAAAACUAUGUUACCUUACUCUUUAUACACCUAGAUAUGAUUCUGACAGUACUAUCAAGAACAUUGUUUCUAUUCAGCAUAAAAAAAUGCGUCAGUCAUUAAAAACAGAGGAGGAAAAGAUCAAAGUCCAGAAUCAGAAUCAGUAUGCAUUUAAUUUUUUAAGAAAAAAAAAUGGCUCGUAUACAGACCCCUCUCAACUGUAUUUCCCAAAGGACAAAGGUCAGGUUCACAGUGAGGAUUUUAUAGUUGAGGAAAUACGAGAUUAUAUCAAUAAUGGAAGAAUCAGUGAGUACAGUGAGCUGUGGAUCUUCACUCUGAACAGUCCGUGUUUGGGGAGAAAAGAUACUGAUCCCUGUAUGAUUAAGUUAACCAGUUUAUCAGAUGAACUUGACAGACUUUACCAGAUUAAAACUUUCAUCACAUAUUCCAAACCGUACGGCCCAACAGGUUCCAUCGUUAAAAUAUUACCAGAUCACACCUACAGAACCAUCCAGAACAGUGAUUACCAUCAGGACCCUCCAUCAACCGUCCCUGAAACUGAUAAAUCCACUAAAUUUAAGAUAAAGAGAUGUGAUUCGUUACCAGCUGAUAUCUCUAAUAAAGCUCUGACUUCUCUGACAGUUAGUGAGAACAAUUAUCAGUGUUGUACCAGACUGCCCACUCCUAACAAGCCAUUUAAGGUAAAAAGAUGCAAUUCGCUCACGGAAAAUAGAACUUACAAAACACCAAGUAAUUCCUCUAAAACAACAAAUCUAAACAAUUCCGAACCUCAGUUUAACAGGUCCAGUUCUGACCGUUCAUCUCAAACCAGUGAUUUCAACAAGUUACUGGAGUCAGCGAGGGACACACUCCUCACCACAGCCGAUCGUGAAUCUGAAUUCCUCAUGAAACUGUCUUCUAGAUUUAAACUAAAAAAUGUGAUGAACUCACUUAAAGAAAAUAUUCCCAAAGAUAAAUGGAAAAUACUUUUUAAUGGAUUGAAUAAAUGUUGCCCUGAAUCCCCCAAAACUCCACACAGUUUUAAAGAGUUAGAAAGCAUGGGAUUGAAUAGAGCAGAAGAACAUGAAAAGUCACUGAGAGCUUUAUUCAGUGAGCAGAUUAAUCAGAGUGUCUGUAAUACCAUCUGUGAGACGUUUAAAUCUGAGUUCCUGAGCUGGUGGACUUCAGACCUAGAAAAGUCUUACAACACAUUUCUAAACACGAGAUUCAGUGAUGCUUUUAAUAGAACAGCUGUUGAGAGGUUCAUUCACAACAUCCAGAACCUUCCAUAUAAACCUACUAUAGUCUGUGUUGAUGACAUCACUGAUUCUCAGAGUAGAGACUGUAGUCGUGACAUCACUGACUCUCAGAGUAUAGACUGUACUCGUGACAUCGCUGAUUCUCAGAGUACAGACUGUAGUCUUGACAUCGCUGAUUCUCAGAGUAUAGACUGUAGUCGUGACAUCGCUGAUUCUCAGAGUAUAGACUCUCUUAGUGACAUCACUAAUACUUCUCAUGCCAUCACUGAUUCUCAGAGUAUAGACUGUAGUCUUGACAUCGCUGAUUCUCAGAGUAUAGACUCUCUUAGUGACGUCACUAAUACUCCUCAUGACAUCACUCAUUCUCAUCAUGGCAUCGCUGAUUCUCAGAUUAUAGACUCUCUUUGUGACAUCACUAAUACUCCUUAUGACAUCACUGAGUUUCCUCAUGACAUCACGGUUCUCAGAAUAUAGGAUGAAACUAAUGAUUUUUUUAGUAUAGUUUGUUUUGGUGACAUCGUUAACAGUUCUUGGUAGUACUCAGUACAUCAGUAAGAGUUUCUGUUCAGGUGCUGUUUCUCCUUCACUCUUAUCUAUCAGUAAAUUUGUCUAAACUGAAUAAAAAAAAAUUCCCCCUGAAUCUUGCUGUGUUU